rnacentral:rRNA from 1 species
AUCUAAGUUUUAAAAUGCAUCCUGAACAAGCCCAAUCCCGUCUGAUCGUGGAAGCUCAGCAGGGUCCGGCCUGGUUAAUACUUGGAUGGGAGACCACCUAGGAAGACCGGGUGCUGUAGGCG